GUUGACCUCGGAUCAGGUAGGAAUACCCGCUGAACUUAAGCAUAUCAAUAAGGCGGAG
rnacentral:rRNA from 1 species